AGGAUGCUCGGAGGAGGCCGGGUGGCGCCGCCCGGAGCGUGCAGCCGCAGCCAGCUGGCGCCCGGCCGCCCCGCACGGGAAUGAAGUCGACUUCCAAGGAAAUGGUACCUGCGCACAGACAAGGGGAGGAGAUGUGAAAGGGGGAGCCUCAGCCAAAGAAGAUUCACUGAACACUUAUCAUUACUGAAAACUGGCCUGGCCGCUGGCAUAUGGAAACAACAGAGUCCCUUUUCUGUGGGAUCAGAUCUGCAAAUGGAGUGACGAGUCCACCCCUGGCUCAUCCAUCACUGCUGAGUGAUGGGCACAUUUUCAGUCAGCGAACAUCUUUAUUCUUUUCAUUUGCCGGUCAUAUCUCAAAAUGCCCUCAAUUAAUGAAAAAACACUAGUAGAAUUAAAUAUAAAUUGCUCAAAAUUAUAUAAUUAAUGGCAUCCUACUUCCACAAUGGUUCCCAAGAAGAUCAAGCUUCCCAGCUGGCCCUUUGGUGGCAGUCAGCCCCUCGAGGCUAGCACGUCAAGGAAUUUGUGUCGAUAGGUUUAGCAACAUGAAAUGACUUGACUUAGCUCUAUGAUAAAUAUUCUAUGUAAUUGAAUAUAUUCGUGUCAAUAAUUUUAUGAUUAUAUCUCAUAGCUGCAUGACAAAUAGGCAUUUACAUAAAAAGAACCUGUACAUGAUUUUAUAAGACACUUUCUUGAAAGCAGGUUUUGAUAAAGGAUUCACACUGGUGACCUCAAAAUAAUGGGCCUUAAGGCACAGGGCAAUAACAAAAUAAGAGGUGGGGAUAAUCACAGUCUGAGUGGAGUGCUAAAACCCCAAAUAGGCACACCGUAGAGAAAAAUCCGUUUAAAAUUAUAUAAAAGAAAGGGGGAUAGUAAUAUUAGAAUGAUAUGAGCAGUUUCACUGUGGACAAAAUUAUGACCUUAGGAGCAACAUCUCUCGAGUUCUAUCCUUCCCAUGGCCAUCACGGUCUGCUUGUACCCUCAGCCCCGAACUACCGAUCUCAAUGGUAUUUUUCAUUAGCAGUAGCCAGGGCUCCUUCAAAGAAGCUGAGUCCGUGUUUGGGAGCAGGGGUAAACUGGAGCAGCCUGAAACAUCUUGCUACUACCAGGAAAGCAGGUUGCUGCAAAAGUGCUGGGCUGUUGCUGAAAGGCAGUGGACAGCUGAGACCAGGAGUUCCCUCCCGCCAGGUUGUGACAGCUUGCACAUCACAAAGAACAGCUAGGUCUCCGGUUGUUGAUCUAUGAGAACAAGUUGAACCUACGAAAGGCAUGAGUCUCUCAUGAUAAAAAAAAAAAAAAAAAAAAGUGGGGACGUUGUUACGUGUAAUUGCAAAGUGUAUUAUAACUCAGAGAAAGGGUAAACGGAACAUUUUAGAAAGGGAAUAAAUUUGGUGUAUAAGGGGGUAGGGGGGUCUCUUCCUACUUAAAGUUCUCGACAUGUGUUUAUGAGAUGGUAUAUCUGUAUAAGUUGAGAAGAGUAGGUUAAAGUGUACAGUGAGUAAGUUAAAAAUUUCUAGACACCGUACCAGACAGAACCAGGAAAGGCUGGUCCAGACCAGCAGCCUCAUAAAUAACCAGGUAGAAGGAACGGUGUUGCAAGUUAAUGGAUUCGCCAGAUGUGCUAGGAGAGUCGCCGACAGACUCAGCUGCUACACAGCCCUGCCAGUGACAAUGAAAUGCUCCUGAUGCGUAAUGCAGUUCACUGGAAACAGGCAGAAGGUGAAGUAUCUGAGAUUUACUGUACAAGAACUUGCUCCUAAGUCCUAUUGACACAGCAGUUGAACCUGAUCUGAGCAAGGGUGCCCCAAUCAGCAAAUGCCUGCUGCCAGUUGAGUCACCUGGAAGGAUCCUGUGCUCCAACUAAGAAUCCAACAGUCAUGGGAGCCUGGGUGGCUCGACAGUUGAGCAUCUGCCUUUAGCUCAGAUCAUGAUCCUGGGGUCCUGGGAUCAAGACCCACAUCGGGCUCCCUGCAGGAAACCUGCUUCUCCCUCUGCCUGUGUCUCUGCCCCUCUCUCAGUGUCUCUCAUGAAUAAAUAAACAAGUCUUUAAAAAAAAAAAAGAAGAAGAAGAAGAAUCCAACAACCAAUAACCCUGAAGCUAUUUCAGUCUACCUGCAGAGGAGAUCAUCUCUCUCUUUUGGGUUUGAUAUUGCAAUUCUGGGAAAGUACAAAAAUAAGUUUUAUCGCGAGAACAAAUAAAUUGUUCAAAUCGAUAGUCAUGAUUUUUACAAAUAGGCUCUUGGGGACAGUAAAAACUCUCGGGGUUUUGGGAUGUUCGAAGCAUUAGAUGCAGAGUUACACUCAAACAGGGUAAUUUGCAUAAAUGUUUAAGGAAAUGUGAUCUGUGACAUUUUAAGUUUGUAUCAGUUGCGUUUGAAUAGUUUACCAAAAAGUUAAUAGAUUUAGAAGUAUAAUAAACAUUCUUUAUACCAA